rnacentral:rRNA from 1 species
CCUACGGGUGGCACCAGUGGGGAAUAUUGCACAAUGGGCGCAAGCCUGAUGCAGCCAUGCCGCGUGCAUGAAGAAGGCCUUCGGGUUGUAAAGUACUUUCAGCGAGGAGGAAGGCAUCAAGGUUAAUAACCUUGGUGAUUGACGUUACUCGCAGAAGAAGCACCGGCUAACUCCGUGCCAGCAGCCGCGGUAAUACGGAGGGUGCAAGCGUUAAUCGGAAUUACUGGGCGUAAAGCGCACGCAGGCGGUCUGUCAAGUCGGAUGUGAAAUCCCCGGGCUCAACCUGGGAACUGCAUUCGAAACUGGCAGGCUAGAGUCUUGUAGAGGGGGGUAGAAUUCCAGGUGUAGCGGUGAGAUGCGUAGAGAUCUGGGGGAAUACCGGUGGCGAAGGCGGCCCCCUGGACAAAGACUGACGCUCAGGUGCGAAAGCGUGGGGAGCAAACAGGAUUAGAUACCCCAGUAGUC